rnacentral:rRNA from 1 species
UACGUAGGGUGCGAGCGUUGUCCGGAAUUAUUGGGCGUAAAGAGCUCGUAGGCGGUGUGUCACGUCGGCCGUGAAAACCUGCAGCUUAACUGUGGGCGUGCGGUCGAUACGGGCAUCACUGGAGUUCGGCAGGGGAGACUGGAAGUUCCUGGUGUAGCGGUGAAAUGCGCAGAUAUCAGGAGGAACACCGGUGGCGAAGGCGGGUCUCUGGGCCGAUACUGACGCUGAGGAGCGAAAGCGUGGGGAGCAAACAGG